UUAGGACAGUGAGCUACUGGUUUGGAAAGCUGCAAGCAUGAUCCUAUCCAGGAGGACAUGGGCUCAUGACUGUCACGGGUGUGUACAGCCUACAGCAUGCAGCUUGUCUCUGCAGCACGGGGCUGCACCUUUCUUCCAGAGGGACAUCACUACCAAACAAAACCUAGGUAUUUUGCUUAAAAGCAAUUGUUGUCUAAUAAUGGGCAUGAAGGUCUGAGUGACAAGAAAAGGUUUUUAAACAGGUAAAAAUGUGAAAGCCUUUUAUAAAAUGUUUUAUUACACUAUUGUUACAUGAGAAUGAACCAAAAAAUUAAAUUGUAGGCAAUUAAAAACCCCCACAAGUCAUGGUGAAGCAGGAAGAUUUGCUGAGGGCUCCUUUAUUCCCAGUGAGUUUGGCAUCCUGAGGCCUGUGGUGAUAGUAACAGAGAGUCUAAAAUGGUAAGAUUGAGCACACGCUAUAAAAUGAGGAGGGUUUUAUAGUGGCUGCAUUUUAUUUGCGUGUAAAGCCUCUAUCCUUUCUGCCUCUAAAGAACACUUGUUGCCAAGUUAGAGCAUCCAGACAUAACGCAAGGUAAACCCUGAGGAAAUCAUGCAAAAUGCUGCUGGGUGGGUUUUGAAAGCCCACGGAUUCUUUUCUCACUUAAUGCAACUAGGGCUUUGCUUUCCCUGAGCAAGACAAGUGUCAGUGGUUUCCUCCCUAAGAUCUGCAGGAGGAGGCUGUUUUUAGCUGAGAGCUGCUGCUUUGCCUAUCACUGAAGUGUGGUUGUAGGAUGCCUGGGAGAGAAGGCAGCUGGAGAGAAGGAAGGCAGAAGGGGAACGCUGGGAGGGAGAGCUCGGGGCUAACAAGGCAGUGCGCUGGGGAUGUACUCACCCAGCAAGGGCAACUUGGAGCCAGGCGGAUCAGGGUGUGUGUGUGGGGCGGCUUUUUGGCAAUCCCUCGCCUUUUAGGUUCUCUCACUUGUUUGAUAUUCUAGGGAGUUCUGACUUAUUUGUACCAUUCCAAUGAUACUGCGAGGUUAAAAAUAUGUUUCCGUGUACAUAGCAAUUAACACAGGCUCUGUGGAGUGGAAUAUUCCAGGAUUUAGGAGACUGCUAGACUUUUUAUUGUCUCUAGCCAGCAGAUGGCGGUAGUGUACCACAGAAGAGCACAGGGCGAGCGCUUGGUGAAACCCGGAGGUUCAGUUUUGUUUUGCUUUGUUUUUUAAGCUUGACAAUACCCAUCUAUAUAUCCUGUGGGCGCACAGUGUUUGAGCCUAGUCUAAUCUUAAACUUGUUUUAUGAUGAUAUCAUUAUUUUUUACUGCUACAAAUUAACUGUCGGUUUCAAUCUACCCCAUAUUUCAGCUGCCUUGGGGGAUCAUCUUGUCAGUUGUGCGGCUUUCCAAUUUUAUGACUGAGAUCAAGACUGAUUCCUUAAAGGCACAUGGGAAACAAUGAAAUGUGGGGCGGUGACAGUGAGCUCCGUUCGGUGGCCACUCCUGGAGGUGAUCAGGAAUGCGAGGGAAGGGCAAGCCACUAAGUCCAUGGUUCUUUUGAAAAGUGACUGCCUUGACAUUUACUCAGGUUCAGUCACUCAUUUAGGUAUGAUCCUCACCAUCAAUGGAGUGGAGUGGGGCUUCAUGAAUCCUAAUAUUAUCCUACAGAGUUAUGUUCAAACACAGGAGAAAGUAAAGAGAGUUUCCAGGGCACAGACAUCCUUGUUGAUUCACAGGAAAUUCUUUCUUCUUUAGCAGGGACCUAAGGCGCCUGCAAACAAUCAGUGUUUACUCUCCCUAGAGUCUGGGGCCUUCUGGAUACCUACUGGGUGCUUGCCCUUGUGUGAAAAGUCCUUGUGAACUUACAGGCCAGAAGCUCCCGACUGCUGCCUAAUCUUUUCCUGAAGCGUAAGGGCAAAAGAGAUUAGGAUCUUCUUGAUAGAGUUGGCAGAGCACCAUUGAUUGAUGAUAAACUUGAAGGAGAAAGGGGUCAUAUUGCAGCUUGCCCCAGUCAAAGAUUUCCGUCAGCCGCAUAGGGUUGUAAAUCCGUUGCCAGCCAGAACACUGUCCAUGGACCGGCUGAGAGGCAGGGACAAUUGAAGCCCAGAGGCGGUGAAAGGGCCAGGCUGCUCCUGAAAUGCCGGGUGGACAGAAGUGUGGGUUCAGGCUUCUCUAAAAUCAUCUGUUGUCUGCAGAACGGCUGCUCUGGCUUCUUGAGCAAUCUGUGACCCGGGGCUCCUCUCAUCUCUUCCCCUCCCCACCUUCUGCACUUACUUAUAUAAUUGCUAGUUCUGCUUCUCUAACAUAGAAUUACUUGCAGAAUUUUCUUUUAAAUAGAAUGUCGGAACCCCAGCUUCUAGAAUGAGUUGGUUUUUUUAUUAGAAUAAAUAAAAGUGGCUACUCUAGAGCAGGUCCGACACGAGCAAGGUUCUUUCCAGGUUUUAUUUUAUCGUGCAUGUGAGCGUGAGUGCAUCAGAUGUCUUUGUCAAUCACUUCUCCACCUUAGUUUCUGAGACAUUAUCUCUCACUGAUGCUAGAACUCCAUCUUUAAGCUAAACUAGCUGGCCAGAAAGCCCCAGGACUCCUCCUGCCUCUGCCUCCUCCCAGGUGCUGGCCCUGACUCUCAGGUGCUGGCCCUGAUGCCUCCCAGGUGUUGUCUCUGCCUCCCUGGUGCUGAGAUUCUGGUGGGUACUGCUGCUGGGCCCAGCUGUUUCACAAAUGCUGGGGAAUCUGAACUCAGGCCCUUACAUUUGCAUGGCAAGCAUAUACUUUCCAGUCUAAACCAGCCCCCAAUUUUAAUUUUAUUAUACUCUUUUUCGAACUGAAUAUUGUUGUUUGUACUCUUUUUCUGUAUGAUACCUGCAGUUCAGAGGUUGAUGCAUUUUCCUACUGAAGGACAAAUUGAAAAUGAAAGCAGUGUCUGUCCGUGUUCCUCCCACAACGUGGUACUCCUUCUCUUUUAAAACAUUGCUGCUGUAACACCGUUUCAUGGUCCUGGACAGGUGGAACAGACAGAGAAAGGUAGAAAGUCCAAGAGAGACUGACACCUGCAAAUGUAUCAGGUAGAAGAGUCAAUACACAGAGGCUUCAAGGUUUCCAAUGGCUGGAUCUGCAGAGGUUUUGGAUAUUGGGAAACACAAUCAGGAGACUCUCCCUGGGGAUUUAGCCCACAGAGAGGGGCUGGCUUAUAUUGAGCCAGCGCUUCAGAGCUCCAUUGAUUGUGGAGUUAAAGGCAUAGAGGAAAAGCACAUUCUGAACUGCUAUGCCGGGGAAGUAUUUGCCUGGAUGCAGGGUAUAAAGGAAGGAUGCUAAUGCACUGGUCCUUUUGGCUCUUAGGCAAGGAUAACAACAGGGCUGGCAGCAGCAUCAUAUGACACAGACAGCCACAGGUAUUUAUGUAGAAGAAAAAGCUCACACAGUGAGAGCAGUGCCCAGAAACAUGUUGAAUGCUGAGCACGGUGCAAAUGGGCCCACUAUUGAUCUUUAGUGGAAAUGUUCAUGUCUGCCUCAUGAACAAAUAUUUCUCUGGAGACCUCCUCUAAAGAAAUAUUUAGUCUAACCUCUCCUCUCCUCUUUACAUUUUAGGGCUUCUCACUGGGCAGUAGGCUAGGGAACAAUCCCAGAAGACUUUAGGAGAAGACUUUGAGACAAUGUGUUUCUUGUUCUCCUACCAAGAGUGUGGUGGCAUUUUUGACCCAAUAGCAGCUCAUACAUAGGCUGUAAACAUAUGUUUUCGAUAUUUGCAACUUAUCUAGGGGAACUGGACUCCAAGGCAUCAAGCAAUCCUGCCAGAUUCUUGGGCUUAUGUUCAUAAGUUGUCUCAAUGGUAAUAUAUUUUGUAAGGCUAUAUGGAUCUCUGGGAUGCUAGCAUGAUUUGUAUUUGUAGAAAAGAUUGGAUUAUUAUACUGCUUUGUGUAUGUGCACAGUGUGUGCUAUGUAUGUAUAGCUAUAGGUUAUAUGUGCCUCUAUACACAUACACAUGGUCUAGAAUAAGACACUGAGCUUCUUACUCUACUGCUCUCUGCCUAUUCUCUUGAGACUUGGUCUCUCACUGAGUUGGAAGCUUGUUGUUUCUUCUAGUCUGCUGGCUAGAGAGCUCAGGAGCCACCUGUCUCCAUGUCCAAAAUCUGGAAUUACAAGAACAUGAAGCCAUGGACAGUUUAUAUAUGAGUACUGGAUAUUUGGACUCAGAUCCUUAUGCAUGCAGAGAAGUGCUCUAAACCACUGGGCCAUCUUCCUAGUGCCUGUAUUUUUUAGUCACUCAUUUGGGAAGUGUUACCAAAGGAAGGGGAUGAAUUGUGAUGGAAACCUUGGAGAACCAGGCACAUGAAGCUACUUUACAAUCUUUUAACUGGAGCAAGUCACUUUCUAUAAGUGUCAGAAUUUCCACCAGUUAAAGUUGGAAUAAUCAUCCCCUCUCUAGAUUCUCUGGUUGUACAGAGUAUAAGGGAUGUAUAAGGAUUUAAAAUUGGAAAUUGUUUUAGAAGCAUGGCUAGUAGAAAAAUUGUACUUACUGAGUUGCUUUUAUGCAUGACAAGCAGUGCUAAAGCAACACUGCUAUACCAGUAUGGAGCUUUACCUAAAUAUCCAUUAAGUGUAUCUAAUACAAAAUAUAGCACUGCAAUCAAAAUGAUAAACCAAUGCUUUUUUUUUUUUUGGUUAAAACAAGGAACCAAGAAAAUAUGGGCUAAAUUUUACCUCUGCCAUUUUGUGACCUUGUCAUUUAACUUCUUUAGUUCUCACUUAUAAAUGAAAGCUAACGUUUCUGCUUCAUGGAGGUGUGGGAGGGACUUAGGGAGACACAGUACCACGGAAUGAAUGAAUGACAAAGGAUGUGUAUAAAAUUAACAGAUUAGCUAGGAACUUGCAUAUACUCCCACAUAUAGAGUAAUUCCUAUUUGCUUUAUUGGAAAUGUGCCCUCACUAAAGUAUUAACUCGUGAUUUUAAGAAUUCAUGGAGGCUGGAUAGUGGUGGUGCACUCCUUUAAUUCCAGUACUUGGGAGGCAAAGGCAGGCAGAUCACAUAUGACUUCAAGGCCAGCCUGGUCUACAGAGUGAGUUCCAGGACAGGCUCCAAAGCUACAGAGAAACCCUGUCACAAACAAACAAACAAGAAUUCAUUAAGUUGGGCCCGGUGGUUUAGGCCUGUAGUUGUAGCUCCUGGGAGCCUGAGGACCAUAUGUUUAAGGUCUGCUUGGGCUACAAACUGAGUUUAAGCUAGCCUGGGCAAUUUAAUGAGAUUUUGUCUCAAAAUAAAAAGUAAAAAGGGAACUAUGGAUAAAUCUCAG
rnacentral:lncRNA from 1 species